GACGAACGCUGGCGGCGUGCUUAACACAUGCAAGUCGAACGGAAAGGCCCUGCUUUUGUGGGGUGCUCGAGUGGCGAACGGGUGAGUAACACGUGUGUAACCUGCCCUUGACUUUGGGAUAACUUCAGGAAACUGGGGCUAAUACCGGAUAGGAGCUCCUGCUGCAUGGUGGGGGUUGGAAAGUUUCGGCGGUUGGGGAUGGACUCGCGGCUUAUCAGCUUGUUGGUGGGGUAGUGGCUUACCAAGGCUUUGACGGGUAGCCGGCCUGUGAGGGUGACCGGCGACAUUGGGACUGAGAUACGGACCAGACUCCAACGGGAGGCAGCAGUGGGGAAUAUUGCACAAUGGGCGGAAGCUUGAUGCAGCAACGCCGCGUGCGGGAUGACGGCCUUCGGGUUGUAAACCGCUUUCGCAUGUGACGAAGAGUGAGUGACGGUAAUGGGUAAAGAAGCACCGGCUAACUACGUG
rnacentral:rRNA from 1 species